rfam:Camelus ferus unplaced genomic scaffold scaffold2639, whole genome shotgun sequence.
CCAAAGGCUCUUUUCAGAGCCACCUACUUUGUCUGCGGAGGAGCUG